GACGAACGCUGGCGGCGUGCUUAACACAUGCAAGUCGAACGGAAAGGCCCUGCUUUUGUGGGGUGCUCGAGUGGCGAACGGGUGAGUAACACGUGAGUAACCUGCCCUUGACUUUGGGAUAACUUCAGGAAACUGGGGCUAAUACCGGAUAGGAGCUCCUGCUGCAUGGUGGGGGUUGGAAAGUUUCGGCGGUUGGGGAUGGACUCGCGGCUUAUCAGCUUGUUGGUGGGGUAGUGGCUUACCAAGGCUUUGACGGGUAGCCGGCCUGAGAGGGUGACCGGCCACAUUGGGACUGAGAUACGGCCGAGACUCCUACGGGAGGCAGCAGUGGGGAAUAUUGCACAAUGGGCGGAAGCCUGAUGCAGCAACGCCGCGUGCGGGAUGACGGCCUUCGGGUUGUAAACCGCUUUCGCCUGUGACGAAGCGUGAGUGACGGUAAUGGGUAAAGAAGCACAGGCUAACUACGU
rnacentral:rRNA from 1 species